UUGAGGGCUGCAUAAGAGUUUGCUCAACAGGUGUAAUGAGAAAGCAGAGAAGAUACACACCGUCGUUCUCAAAAUUAGCCAAGCUUCAGAAUCACCUGGAGGGCUCGUGGGAACAUGGAACCCUGAGCCCCACCCCGAGUUUCUGAAUUUCUGAUUCUGUGGGUGUGGGGUGGGGCCUGAGAAUUUCUGUCUCUAUUAAGUUCCCAGGGGCUGCUGCUGCUGCUACUGUCACCCUAAGGACCACAUUUGGAGAACCACUGAUGUGCACGGAGACCUGAGCAUGCAGUCCCAGGACGCGUUCGGGGAACCGACUCUUUACAUAGGAAGGACGCGCAUGUUGGUCCAUCUUCAGCGUCGCAAAUAUCCUCCCUCAGUUACAUUGUCCCUUACGUUUUGUUUGGGGCAUUAACUGGCUUUCAGAGGUUUGGCUGUGAGAGUCGCAUCCGGCGGCCUCUCAGGUGUCCUUCCUCGUUCAGAACCUGCACAGCUUUGUCCCGCCCGGAAGCCAGUCGAGAGGCCAACUUCGUUUUUCUUCCGGAAAACGGACCGACCGUCCCGGCGUCAACGACUAAUCCCUCCUUACCGCGCCGAUUUGUAAUGCCGCGUUUAUAGGACGUUAAACUUUUAUAAGAGCUAGAUCCCCGUGCACAUAAAACCCGCUGUUUUCAUGCUAUUUGUUCCUCCGAGACGUGUUUUCAGUGUACAGACCGGUUCGUGCCAUUUUCCUGAUUUAGAUCCUUCAGCGACACUCCCGUGGCCCCUGGGUCAGGUUCAAGCCCAGACCGCUCCGCCUCCGGGUGCUUCUGGGCCCCGUUCGCCUGCACCCCAGACCCCGUGUCCCCCCAAAGGCCUCCGCGUGAAACCGGUCCGUUCUCUUUGCGCUUUGAAACCAAGCGGCACCAUCUCUCCCCACUGGCUACCUUGUGGCCUGUUUCAAAACACUUCGGUUCCACAGUCCGCAUGGUUUUCCCCGAUGUUAAUUUUAUCCCAGUGGUGUCUGCCUCGCCCCGGGAUUACUGAGAAUCAAGAAGCAACCCUGGAUUUAAAACAAUAUUUUUACCUUCCCCCGAAAACUGGGAACACUCUUCCCGUGUGCCGCUGCUGACCAUUCGAUUCGGGCCCCUUCCCGACAGUCGGGGAGAAUCUUCUAAAGAGGAGUCAUCGGCUUUUGCUGUGGGGGUUCCCUUCUCAGAGAGCGUUUCGAAAUCCAGUCUGAACCCCGAGCAUGUUUUGAGUUGUGUUUAACUUUUAACAUUCCGCGAAAAUUUGGACUUAAUUUCUCUUGCGUUCUGAAAUAGUGUGAUUCUUUUAUUUUUCGUUUCCUGGACCAAAGCCUUGCCACAUGCGUGGAAAACCAGAGGGAUGGAGGGUGGGAAUGUUUUCUCGUAAAGGCUAAUGUGAAAUGGAUUGAAACUGCAGCUUAAGGGGAAACGACUGCUUUCUGGCCACGGGACUGUGCUGGUAGGUACAGGGCCCUGUGUCUGCACCAGCCACGUGCUGGCGAGUUCAAUGGGACGCAUCCUGACCCCAAAGCCCUGGGUGGUACUUGUGUCACCCGAUGCAGCUGACCCUGGGGACCCCUCCCCGGGGGGAUCGCCCCUGUGCUGUGGAGACCCAGCCGGUGGGCUUGAGGGAACGUGGCUCAGCUCCGGCCGGAAUGCCCCGCGUAUGAGCUUCCCGUUGCCGCUGUAACAAAUGGGCACGCACGUAGCAGCUUCCAACGGCGGGGAUUUGUUAUCUCACAGCUCUGGAGGCGGGAAGGCCGAGCUCACGGUGCCGCAGGUUCUGUGUCUGUGAGUCCGUUUCCUGGCCUGUG